rnacentral:misc_RNA from 1 species
AAGUCGUAACAAGGUAUCCGUAGGUGAACCUGCGGAUGGAUCAUUACUGAGUUGGACUGCGUUGUAGUCUUUCUAUAUUUGACUAUUGUGCAUUGUUUACCGGCGUUCGCGCCGUGAUUUUCACCAUUGAUUGAAUACACAUACAUAAAAUACGCAUAAAACUUUUAGCAACGGAUCUCUAGGCUCUC